rnacentral:rRNA from 1 species
UACAGAGGUCUCAAGCGUUGUUCGGAUUCAUUGGGCGUAAAGGGUGCGUAGGUGGCGCUGUAAGUCAGGUGUGAAAUUUCGGAGCUCAACUCCGAAACUGCAUUCGAUACUGCGGUGCUUGAGGACUGGAGAGGAGACUGGAAUUCAUGGUGUAGCAGUGAAAUGCGUAGAGAUCAUGAGGAAGACCAGUGGCGAAGGCGGGUCUCUGGACAGUUCCUGACACUGAGGCACGAAGGCCAGGGGAGCAAACGGG